rnacentral:rRNA from 1 species
UACGUAGGGGGCAAGCGUUGUCCGGAAUCAUUGGGCGUAAAGAGCGCGUAGGCGGUCCGAUAAGUCGGUUGUGAAAACUGGGGGCUCAACCCUCAGAGGCCGACCGAUACUGUCGGGCUAGAGUCCGGAAGAGGCGAGUGGAAUUCCUGGUGUAGCGGUGAAAUGCGCAGAUAUCAGGAAGAACACCAAUGGCGAAGGCAGCUCUCUGGGACGGUACUGACGCUGAGACGCGAAAGCGUGGGGAGCGAACAGG